rnacentral:lncRNA from 1 species
AAAAUUAGAAUCCCUCGCAUUUUGCACCCCUAAUGUGCAUCUUUUUUGUGAUUUGCACCCUGUCCUAUGUUUUUUUACAAUUUCAACCCUAACCUCUUUAUUCCCUUGCAAAACAAUAAAACCACCAUUUAUAUAAAUUUUUCAUGAGGGCAAAAUAGGAAAUGCAAAUAAAAAAUAAAUAAAAUAAUGACAUAAAAUAAAUAAAGAGAGAUUAAAUAAAAAGGAGUUGGUUUGGUUACCAAAAAGCAAAGACCAGUCAAUAGUCAUACUAAUCUUCUCUUUGCUUCAUCACCUAGAGCAUAUCGACAAGCUCAAGACCAAAGCAAAUGAUCAGUCACAAUUAUCUUCUCUUUCCUUUCACCUCGCCUAAAAUGGACAAGCUCAAUAAAUCAGUCAUUUUCUCAAGGGACCAAGAUGUAUUUCCAUAUCUCUUUAACAGAAAUGGUGUUAAGAUUUAUGCAUCUCGUCGAUCUUUAUAAGCUUAAUCUUCCAAAACGCCCCAUAUUUUCUCUGAUUUCACCUUGUUAAAGCCUUCGCCGUUUACUUCUUCACGUCGUUCCUGGUGGAUCCAUUUCGGAGGUCAGUUUUUCUAUAUUCAGCUAGUUCGUCUUUUUUACUGUCUAUUCUUUUGCAAAAAAAUAAAAUAAAAUUGGGACAGUCAUCAGAGAAUCUCUGUUUUGUAUUGAAAGAUAAAUAUAGCCCAGUAGUUUGAGAUUGAUGCUAGUAUUUUUCGAAAUGUAAAUGUAUAUGUAUAUGAGCUCGUGUGUAAUGUAGUUUUUGCUAAUCGCUAUUACUUAAUAUAGCACUAUUCUUUAUUGCUGUAAAUUCUUGUGUAAUGAUCGUGUUCCUCUCUGAUUGAGAUGAAAAUAGGAUAAGGGUGUAUAUAGUUAAGCAAUAAAGAUAAGUCAAAAGGCUUCGAAGAGUACAAAUACUAAAAUUAAAUUGUAAAGGUAAAUGAUAAACUUGACAUUGAGAAUCUCUUAGGAAUAAAUGAUAUAUCCAUUAAAUAGCAAAAGAAGUCGUGAUGAAAUUAAAUUUGUUCUUGCUGACAAUUUCAUAUGCUAAUUGCUUCUAUUUUCUUCCACAUCAAAACUCUUUUUCUUGGCUUCUAUUUGAAUCAUCCUCCGUUGGCCUUCUUGGCUGUGAAAAAAAAUAAAGAACGCAAAUGUACUACCUAUCUCUAAAAGUACUAAAUCACUUAUAUUUAAGGUCCCAUACUUACAUUGAGUUUAGAAGGUUCAUUUAUAUGUCCAGUCCAAUAAGUGGACUCAAAAUUGAUUUGUUUACUUGGGUGGGAUUGACUUGUCGCAUUUUGACACCAAUCUUGAGUUGUUUGAGUAGCUUGAGGUAGAGUUGUUGAAUUUGGGGAAUUACUACUCUUCUUGCAAGUUGUUUUGUUGUGACCAGUUUGUAAGCACUUGCUACACCUCCCCAACUUCCCUUUCUUACUCAAUUUGGUAGCAUCAUGCAUUUCACUUGUUGCAAUUUGUUUUUUCUUUUUCUCUCUUCUCUGUUUUUUCAUCUCAACUGCUUUUCUCUUGGAGGCUUCAAUUUCAUCGGGCUUUUUUCUUUUAUUUUUGUUUAACUUACUUUUCUUUGGCUCAUAAUUAGGAGGGUUAACGUCAAGUAGAUCAGUAGGUUCCCACAUGUCAUCUGAAUCAUACUUAGGAGAGAUGUUAUCAUUUUCAGAUUCUGUACUUGAGUCCUCCAGUAGUAACCCGGCAAAAUUGGCACUCUUAGUUUUCUCCAUCACUUUAUCUUUCUUUUUUUCCUUCCUCUCUUUCCUCCCCUUUACACUAACUUCGCCAUUUCCUGCUAGAUUUUUCUUUUUAUCCUCGCUUCCUUUCAUUAUUUCCUUUUCUUUCGGCUUCAUUGUUGCCUUAUCCUUUCCAAUAUUAUCCCAAAUUCCAAGCCAUUCACUGCCUGAAUCUAUCUCCAAACCAUUCGACUCUUCUUCACUUUCAUUUAUAUGAUAUUCAUCACCUUCAAAAUGCUCCAAUUCUUGGUAUACAUCACUAUUUUUAUCCCCACCAUAAUUUGCUCUUUCCAAUUUGAAGUCAUCUACGUUAGUACUUACCUCUGCAGAGUUGAAGAUAUGAUUAUAUGCACCAUCCUUCGAUGCCUCCAAGUCUAUUAGCACCCCAUUAUCCUCACAAAUAUAAUUAGCAUUGGGGCUCACUUGAUUUUGUAUUUUUGAUACAUUACCAGCAUGUGUAAUGUAUACUUCAGCAACUCUAUUAGCUGGAAGUGUUUUUACCAUUAGAUCACAAUCAACAUUAGUCAAGCAUUGAAUAUAACCAUUACCAGUAUUAGUCAUGGGUAGUUUAAAGUGCCAACCAAGAAUAUUGUUGUAUCCUAAUCUCGUUGUUCCAAUCCAUUCUAAGGUUUGCAAUGACCAUUUAUGUGGAUCACACUUAUCAAUAAAAUCUAUUUUGCCUCCCAAAUAAAUUCUCUCAGGUACAUCUAAAAAUUCACCUCCAUGAUGAAUCUUCAAUGUAAAAAGCUCAUCAUCCAUACCUGUGACAAUGCAAGGUUUAAGCUAGCUCAAUUUCUAGAUUAGAUAAAAAAGAAUAUAGACUGAAGAACUACUUUUGACACAAGGUAACAUCGCUUGUUUUUAGUAAAUCUGAAUAGCAUAAUUCCAUUAAAUAUCAAGUCUUGAACAAGGAUAUUGUUUUUCUGCAGAAUGCACUUGUUGAAGCACAUGAGGGAUCACAUAGGAGAGUUGGCAAAGAAAGAUAGAGGAAUGAUAUUUGAUGCCUUGGGGAUUGAUGUCCAAUUUGUUCCAAACAGAGGAUAUUAUUUAUUCAUGGUUUAGAUUAGCCUAUUUUUUAUUAUGCUUUAUUGAAUUGGAGAGAAGCAUUCGUAGCUUUUCAAUAAAGCAUGUUUUAUCCAAAGUAGAGUAUGAACUUAAAUGAAUUGAUCUUUCUUUAUUGAUUUACAUGAUAGUAUUCAGAGUUGUUUGAAAUUUGGAUAGAUUUGCAAACCUUUCUGUCUGGUGCAUUGUUGUAGUGAGUUGAGUUUUGUGAUUUAUUUUUAAAUAAAUAAAAAAAAACAAUAGCAGAUAGAGGAUGGGACAAGAACAUGUUAAAGAUGGAUUGCAUCUUACGACUUUUACAGAUAGACUCCGAACUUGUUACCUUUCAACUUCUCCUUCUUCAAUCGACUUUUCUAUUUCUCCUUGCUCUUAUCCAUUGAUGAUAUACUGGAUGUGCUAUUUGUUCUCGGUAAUCCUUCAGCGCGUUUUAUGCUUGGAGAGCUUAACCUAGUCUCCCACGAUGCAAUGGUGAUGGCGGGAAGAGUUUCGCUAGAAUUAACGUCCUACCCUAAAAACAUAACUUAAGGAAAAAAAAAAACAUAUUAUUUGUAUUUCCUAUUUUUCCCUCAUGAAAAAUUUAUAUAAAUGGUGAUUUUAUUGUUUUGCAAGGGAAUAAAGAGGUUAGGGUUGAAAUUGUAAAAAAACAUAGGACAGGGUGCAAAUCACAAAAAAGAAUACACAUUAGGGGUGCAAAAUGCGACGGACUCAAAAAAUUAUGUAUAAGAAAAAAGUAUUGCUGUAAAUCAAUUGACAUGAACACAUACAAGUCUUUUAAAUAUUAAAAAUUAAUAUUAUUAUAUUAUAAUAAUUAAACUCAAAACAAUUAAAUAUCGUUUGAAUCUGCAAUCACCCAUUUAGUUAAAUUAGUUCGAUAGUUUUGUAUUAUAGAUUAAAAUAUGUAAUGUGUUUAGGGGUAUAUUAUAGGGUCUUAUAAUACCUAAUAUUCCUACUUAUUUAAUUUGUUGGUGAUAUUUUUUGUGCCGCUUUGACUACUCUCUCAUGACUAUAGCUAUUGUUAAGUGUUAUAUUGAUAUCUCUUGUGAACUAUUAUAAUUUCUUAUGAGAAAAUAUAUUAUAAGAAAUAUAAUCCAAAACACAGGCAUACUAAAAAAUAUUUUCGGAUGAAUUUAAAGGAUAUUAUUGAUUUCUUGUGGAAAAAGUUGAACUCGGCAUAGGUAUAUGCUUCGAAGCACAUUAGACUAACAUGAUUUCUGCAUAUACAAUGUCAUAGUCAAAACCUUUACAUAUCAUCUUUAUGAUAUUACAUAAAUAUUUGAUGGAUCUAAGUUGCCCAAUGACAUGAUGGAGCAUUUUCUUCUAGCUAACUUGUAUGUAAAAGAAAAUUAUUUUUUAGUUUGUCUAAUUUCGAACAGCUGAUGACAUUUUAAAAAAGAUUGUCUCACGUAAGCAUUAUGAAAUAUUAUUAUUUAAUCAUAUAUAAUAGCUUUCUUUUAUCUUUUGCAACUUCUUUGAGCACAUUACUCUAUUAACAGUAAUUAUUAAGUCUUUACUCUUUACACAAAAGACUCAUAAGACAGAUUCAACAAUAAUCUCAAGUGGUACCUUUCAUCUUGACCAAGUUUAGCUACAUAUUUAUUUGAAAAGGAUAACUUUUUAAAUUUUGAAAGAGAUACAACAAAAAUUUAAGUGUACAUAUUAAAUGCCUAACCACCGCUAGCAAUUAGGCCAACUACUAACCAUCCUUUUAUUUUUUCAUAUUUUCAAAUGAGGGAAGUAGACAUAACACUUUGAGAUAUUUUUGUAUGUGUAAGUUCGUACUUGAUCCUCUAUUGAGCAUGGUUAGAUUGACAUUAUAUUAGGGAUGUCAAUAUAGAUCCAUUCCAGUCCGCUUUCUAACAAUUAUGAGUAUGUGAUGUUGAUAGAUCGUAAGAAAUUUCUCCUAAAUAUUUGUAAAUACGGAAAAGGGUUAAAAAUGCUCCUAAAUUAUUGGAAAAGAUUUAAAAAUAUCUUUCAUCUAUCUAUUGGGCUAAAAAUACCCCUACAUCCACCUUUUUGGUUCACUUAUACCCUUUGACUGUUAGGUCAAUGUUGAAUUAAAAAUAAUUAUUAUAUAAAUUCCACGUAGCAACUUCUUAUUGGUCGAAAUUAAGACAUCUAACCUAUUAGAAAGACUAACCCAUAUCUAACCGUUUUUCGGACUAACCCGUCCCAAAGAUUGACCCGACUCGAAUAAAAAGUUCAACUACAAAAAAAGACAAGCCACUUCCAUCUAACUCUGAGUUAUCUAUACCCCUACUGUCAUACUUUGGAACAAAAAUACUCCUAUUUUGGAUGGAGUGCCACGUGGCAGCACCAGAUUAAAAUGACCUAUUUUUUUUUACCCGACCCGUUUUAAAAAAAAAACCCCACAACCCGACCCCCUAUUUUUUUUUUUUUACAGUUUUUACAAAUUUGUUUUCCAGUUUUUACAAAAAAAAUGCUUUAAAAAAACUAAAAAAAAAUAUUUUUCAGAAUCGAAAAUAUUUUGUUGAAUAUAUUUUUUUCAGUUUUUAGAAAACAAAAAUAUUUUGUUAAAAGCAUCUUUUUUCUGUUUUUACAAAAAAAAAAUCAGUUUUUACAAAAAAAAUUCAGUUUUUACAAUUUUUUCCUCUUUUACAAAAAAAUGCUUAAAAACUGAAAAUAUGAAAACAAAAUACGUUUUUGUAAAAACUGAAAAAAAAUAAAAAAGACUUUACUAAAUUAGUGCACGACUGGUGCAUUAGUUUUUAAAAAAAGCGAAAAUAUUUUGCAAAAUAUUUAUUUUUAAGUUCAAGAAUAAUAUUAUUCUUAAUUCAGCAUUGACCUAUCAGUCAAAGGGCAUAAGUGAACCAAAAAAGUGGAUGAAGGAAUAUUUUUAGCCCAAUAGGUGGAUGAAGGGUAUUUUUAAACCUUUUUUAAUAGUUUAGGAGCAUUUUUAACCUUUUUUCGUUGUAAAUAAAAUAGAAAAGUUUAAUACAAAAGGAGCAAUUUCAAAUGGAACAAAGAGAGAUAUAUGUAACUAGGGAGGGGUGUCAAUGGAUAUUUAAAAAUCGACUGAACCGUAUCGCAUCGAACAAAAUUUUAGGUUUCUUUUAAUAUUUAUAUAAAUCUCCGUAACAAUAAUUAGGGUAGGUUUUUUAUUUUAUGAAAAUAAACCGAAAAAAUACCGAAUCGUACCGAAUAGAUUUAUAAUAUGAACAAUAUAUUUAUAUAUUAAGUUUAAAAAUAAUAAAGCGUUAAAUUUUUUCUUGGGCCUUGGAAUUAUGAAAUAGUUACAAGCCAACAAGUAAUUAAAGUUGAAAUAGCAUGGGAUAGCCACUUUUUAACAUGAUAUUUAGUUUUUAUCCAA